rnacentral:rRNA from 1 species
GACGAACGCUGGCGGCGUGCUUAACACAUGCAAGUCGAACGGCAAGGCCCUUCGGGGUACACGAGUGGCGAACGGGUGAGUAACACGUGGGUGAUCUGCCCUGCACUUCGGGAUAAGCCUGGGAAACUGGGUCUAAUACCGGAUAGGACUCCGGACUGCAUGGUCUGGGGUGGAAAGCUUUUGCGGUGUGGAAUGGGCCCGCGGCCUAUCAGCUUGUUGGUGGGGUGAUGGCCUACCAAGGCGACGACGGGUAGCCGGCCUGAGAGGGUGACCGGCCACACUGGGACUGAGAUACGGCCCAGACUCCUACGGGAGGCAGCAGUGGGGAAUAUUGCACAAUGGGCGCAAGCCUGAUGCAGCGACGCCGCGUGAGGGAUGACGGCCUUCGGGUUGUAAACCUCUCUCAGCAUCGACGAAGCGAAAGUGGCGGUAGGUGCAGAAGAGGGACCGGCCAACUACGUGCCAGCCGCCGCCGUAA